AAAUUGAAGAGUUUGAUCAUGGCUCAGAUUGAACGCUGGCGGCAGGCCUAACACAUGCAAGUCGAACGGUAACAGGAAGCAGCUUGCUGCUUUGCUGACGAGUGGCGGACGGGUGAGUAAUGUCUGGGAAACUGCCUGAUGGAGGGGGAUAACUACUGGAAACGGUGGCUAAUACCGCAUAAUGUCGCAAGACCAAAGAGGGGGACCUUCGGGCCUCUUACCAUCAGAUGUGCCCAGAUGGGAUUAGCUUGUUGGUGAGGUAACGGCUCACCAAGGCGACGAUCCCUAGCUGGUCUGAGAGGAUGACCAGCCACACUGGAACUGAGACACGGUCCAGACUCCUACGGGAGGCAGCAGUGGGGAAUAUUGCACAAUGGGCGCAAGCCUGAUGCAGCCAUGCCGCGUGUAUGAAGAAGGCCUUCGGGUUGUAAAGUACUUUCAGCGGGGAGGAAGGUGUUGUGGUUAAUAACC
rnacentral:rRNA from 1 species